rnacentral:tRNA from 1 species
GCCCAGGUAGUCUAGUGGUAAGGCGACGGUCUCGAAAACCGUUUCUCCCUCGGGAGAGCGCAGGUUCGAAUCUUGCCCUGGGCGC